rnacentral:snoRNA from 1 species
AUUUGAUGAUGUGGACAUUGUAUUUGUAACUCCCUAAAUCUUUCCCAAGCUUCAAAGAAUUCUUCCGUAUGUUUUUGUCUAAAAUUUUGGAUUGGACUCCAGAGU